AAAUUGAAGAGUUUGAUCAUGGCUCAGAUUGAACGCUGGCGGCAGGCCUAACACAUGCAAGUCGAACGGUAACAGGAAGCAGCUUGCUGCUUCGCUGACGAGUGGCGGACGGGUGAGUAAUGUCUGGGAAACUGCCUGAUGGAGGGGGAUAACUACUGGAAACGGUAGCUAAUACCGCAUAAUGUCGCAAGACCAAAGAGGGGGACCUUAGGGCCUCUUGCCAUCGGAUGUGCCCAGAUGGGAUUAGCUAGUAGGUGGGGUAACGGCUCACCUAGGCGACGAUCCCUAGCUGGUCUGAGAGGAUGACCAGCCACACUGGAACUGAGACACGGUCCAGACUCCUACGGGAGGCAGCAGUGGGGAAUAUUGCACAAUGGGCGCAAGCCUGAUGCAGCCAUGCCGCGUGUAUGAAGAAGGCCUUCGGGUUGUAAAGUACUUUCAGCGGGGAGGAAGGCGAUAAGGUUAAUAACCUUGUCGAUUGACGUUACCCGCAGAAGAAGCACCGGCUAACUCCGUGCCAGCAGCCGCGGUAAUACGGAGGGUGCAAGCGUUAAUCGGAAUUACUGGGCGUAAAGCGCACGCAGGCGGUCUGUCAAGUCGGAUGUGAAAUCCCCGGGCUCAACCUGGGAACUGCAUUCGAAACUGGCAGGCUAGAGUCUUGUAGAGGGGGGUAGAAUUCCAGGUGUAGCGGUGAAAUGCGUAGAGAUCUGGAGGAAUACCGGUGGCGAAGGCGGCCCCCUGGACAAAGACUGACGCUCAGGUGCGAAAGCGUGGGGAGCAAACAGGAUUAGAUACCCUGGUAGUCCACGCCGUAAACGAUGUCGACUUGGAGGUUGUGCCCUUGAGGCGUGGCUUCCGGAGCUAACGCGUUAAGUCGACCGCCUGGGGAGUACGGCCGCAAGGUUAAAACUCAAAUGAAUUGACGGGGGCCCGCACAAGCGGUGGAGCAUGUGGUUUAAUUCGAUGCAACGCGAAGAACCUUACCUACUCUUGACAUCCAGAGAACUUUCCAGAGAUGGAUUGGUGCCUUCGGGAACUCUGAGACAGGUGCUGCAUGGCUGUCGUCAGCUCGUGUUGUGAAAUGUUGGGUUAAGUCCCGCAACGAGCGCAACCCUUAUCCUUUGUUGCCAGCGGUCCGGCCGGGAACUCAAAGGAGACUGCCAGUGAUAAACUGGAGGAAGGUGGGGAUGACGUCAAGUCAUCAUGGCCCUUACGAGUAGGGCUACACACGUGCUACAAUGGCGCAUACAAAGAGAAGCGACCUCGCGAGAGCAAGCGGACCUCAUAAAGUGCGUCGUAGUCCGGAUUGGAGUCUGCAACUCGACUCCAUGAAGUCGGAAUCGCUAGUAAUCGUGGAUCAGAAUGCCACGGUGAAUACGUUCCCGGGCCUUGUACACACCGCCCGUCACACCAUGGGAGUGGGUUGCAAAAGAAGUAGGUAGCUUAACCUUCGGGAGGGCGCUUACCACUUUGUGAUUCAUGACUGGGGUGAAGUCGUAACAAGGUAACCGUAGGGGAACCUGCGGUUGGAUCACCUCCUUA
rnacentral:rRNA from 1 species